rnacentral:rRNA from 1 species
AGCGAACGCUGGCGGCAGGCCUAACACAUGCAAGUCGAACGAACUCUUCGGAGUUAGUGGCGGACGGGUGAGUAACACGUGGGAACGUGCCUUUUGGUUCGGAAUAACUCAGGGAAACUUGUGCUAAUACCGAAUGUGCCCUUCGGGGGAAAGAUUUAUCGCCAUUAGAGCGGCCCGCGUCUGAUUAGCUAGUUGGUGAGGUAACGGCUCACCAAGGCGACGAUCAGUAGCUGGUCUGAGAGGAUGACCAGCCACACUGGGACUGAGACACGGCCCAGACUCGUACGGGAGGCAGCAGUGGGGAAUCUUGCGGAAUGGGCGAGAGCCUGACGCAGCCAUGCCGCGUGAAUGAUGAAGGUCUUAGGAUUGUAAAAUUCUUUCACCGGGGACGAUAAUGACGGUACCCGGAGAAGAAGCCCCGGCUAACUUCGUG